CCCUGACUGGGGCACGAACCCGUGUCCCCUACAUCGGCAGGCGGACUCUCAACCACUGCGCCACCAGGGAAGCCCAGGGACAUUUUCUGAAAAAUGGGUCUUUGUGGAAUGAGUGAAGGAUCUGAGAUGAAGUCAUCCUGGAUGAGGAUGGAGGAAAGUGCUUGGAGCCAUGACAGUGACAGCACGCAUGCUGAGUUGCAGGCCACAUGGGAUGGUCGGGUGGUCCUGGUCUGGGUGCUCUUCUGGAAGUUUCCAUUUACCUACCUGAGCUACCCCUCCGCUCCUGGACCCCACUGCCUGGGGAGAACUUACAACAGCAGCCGGCACGGAGUUGCUUAGCGACUCCCCCGUGGACACCAUGGACACUGCUGGGAUGAGAUGAGAGCCAGGAGAGGCUGCUGGUGUCUGAACCUCUGCCCGGGCCCGUCUAGAGCAACGAGGUCAGUAGGUGGGUGCUGGCUGCUGUGCUGCGUGAGGGAGGCCCCACGGGUACCUCUUGUUUCUUCCACCUGACACCACGGAGGCACCCCCCCGCCUGGGACAGAGGGUACAGCCUGCCCCAGGCAGGUGGGAAUUCCUGGUGACCCUGUCGGGGACACCAGAGGGACGGAACAGGCAGGAGGGGAGUGGGCGCCCACGCAGAGCCAUGGGGCUCGGGGCCCAGGGGGCCUUUCUGGGUCUGCGUUGGGAGUGGACGAGCAGUGGUGAGUGUGACCCAAGAAAGCUGCCCUGGUGACAUGAGACUGACCCCGCUCAGGGAGACAAGCCUCCCAGGUGACUCCCAAAACAGGAUUGGAAGACAAAUCCUGUUAAAAGAAAGUUUUGUAACAUGAAUCCUGCUGAAGGAGAGGUUUUGCAAAGCUGAUCCCCUAAGAGGAGGCUCCGUGAGCUCUUCCCCUCAGGGGGGGACGUGGAGCCUGCCGGGAACAGGCAGUCCCCCUGGGCGGGCGGCGGGUGCAGAGCCCACUCUGUGGCCCCAUGUCUGUGCUUCUGGGCGGGUAACUUGGCUUCUCGGAGCCUCAGCUUCUCAGUCUGUUCAAAAGGUGAUGGCAGCAUGGAUUGACUAGUAAGUUGCCCAGAACAGAGUAGAAAGGGGUCUUGUGGAAAUUGCACAGAACAUCGUCUUUAGGGGAAUCGCAGGUCCCGUUUCCCACAGGUCUGUCUUCAGGAUCAGGAGAGCGGAUCUAAGCAGAUUUGCAGUAGAGCCUGGGGACGGGCCCGGUUUGGUGGGUCCUCCUGUCUCCUGAAUCAUGGACGGGGAAGCUUCAGCGGGCAGUGGCAGGUUCAUCCCACCUCUGGAAGUGUCUGGACUCCAAGGCCCAGCAGCCCCUGAGCCCUGCGUCUGGGACCCUCGGAGGCAGGUGGGACAGGCUGGCCUCCUUCCUUCCCAGGACAUGUGAGGUGCAGGCUGUCGUCAGGGAGAAGCAGGGAUGGAGGGGUAUCCUGUGUGGGAAGAGGACAUGGGGCAGCUUGUGUACGUGGAUGUCCACACCAGGAAUGUGGGUCAGUGCAGGGGGACUCGGACACCAGGAGGUGCAGCUGGUGGGCCUGAGUAAGCAGGGCUGGGGGUCCCGUGGAGGCGGUGGGUCGAGCUUCACCCGUGCUGGGCCUUGGACUCCCCGGCCUUCCUUGUCCUGGUCACUGGGGAGGAGGGGCUGAGCGGUGCUGGUGGAGUGACCACCAGGCCUUGCCAGUGUUGGCGCCUCCGGCUGUUGUCAGGGAGCCUGUGGGGUGUGGGUUCUGCCGUGCCCGCCAGGGAGGAGGUCUGGAGGGCUCCGGCAGGAGGCACUGGUGUGGCCAGCACCCGUGCAGAAGCUUCCAAGCCAGUGUCCAGAGAGAACCCCUGCCUGUGGAUUUCAAGUCCACAUACACAGAUCAGCUUCUAGUGGGCUCGGAUUAUUUUCUAGACACAAAGUCCUAACACCCUGUGUGUCCACGGCACAUGGAAAGGCACAUCUGAUGUGGUUCCAGGUGCUGCCUCUGGACCCCCUCCUGCCUGGACGCCGUGCAGCCAGUGUCACCAUGUCGUGACUGUGUGUCAGGCGGGGGGCAGGGGGGAGAGCAAAUGGUCCAGGCCCACGAGGGGCCGUGCCAUCCACGGAGCCAGUGCUGUGGCUGUAGGUGUGCCCUCCGCUCACCCCACUGGCAGAGGCUACUAUCCCCUUACAGAUGGGGAGGCAGUCGGUGUGGCACCUGAGGUCGGGGCCUGUGGCUGGCAGGCGGUGGCGGUCAGCAGGGGGUACGCACGAGGUCAGGGAAGGCUCUCAGUGUGUUUACAGAGAAGAUGCGAACGUGGGUGCAGGUGCAGAGCUGCCUGCAGAUACUGCUGUGAACGCCCCUGAAUUCUUUCCUGAGAAUAUUGGCGGAGGGGCAUUCAGACAACAGGGCAAACAGCUUGUUCUGGUGGCUGUUGUUGGGGAAGCGGGGCAUAGACAGGGGCUCAGCCCGCAAAACCCUAGAACCGCCCCCAGAAUGGCAGGAAGUGGUUCUUCCACCUACUAGACGUGGAGGGAAGGAGUGAGGUCUGCGGGGCCACCUUCACUUUCGGGGACUUGCUGGGAGGCUCGUAUGCUCAAGGCUAAGAUGGGUCACAGCACACAGUAGGGGUGCAUGGCGGGAUCCCUGUGCUGGCUUCCUCAUGCCCCCUCCUUCACUCGAGGGUCUUGAGAGUAUCUCUUCCCCCAGUGAGGAAGGGUAAAACCAUGACAUUUUCCCCCAGGGAAGCUCAUUAGGGACUUGGCCCCCAGCUGGGGCUGGUCACCUGGCAUCGUCUGCCCUCAGCCUCCAAAAUGCCAGUGCCCAGAAGGGGAGCCAGUGUUCAGCAUGAAACACAUGGUUUGUGCAAACGGCGUAGGUGCAGGGGCCGCCCCUAACGGGAGGGAGGUUUAGAUAAAAGCAGGGAGCCGUUCCCCAGCUGUGGUAGCUUCCUGGGGCGGCCAUGACAAAUGACCACAAAUGGAGCCUCAGAACAGCAAAAACCGAUCCUCUCUGUUCUGGAGACCAGAAGUCUGAGAUCAAGGCGGCUCAGGGCUGAGCUCCCUCCCGAGGCCCCAGGGGAGGAGGCUUCCUGGCUUUUCCAGCCUUUGGAGGUUCCAGGCGUCCCUGGGCUCGUGGCCACAUCCGUCUCCAUCUUCACGAGGCUUGUCCUGUGUCUGUCCUCUUCUGUCUCUUCUAAGGACACCUGUCACUGGAUUCAGGGCCACGCUCAUCCGGGAUAAACUCAUCUCCAGAUCCGUAAAUAGCGUCUUUAGAUCCUAUUUCCAAACAAGGUCCCAUUCCCAGGUUCUGGGGGGCCAGGAUGUGGACAUAACUUUUGGAGGGGGCCCAUUCAACCCAUACCGCAGCCCAAUUCCCAGACGCUGACCAAGGGCCAUCCAUGCCUACUGACCUUCCUCAGGACAGCAGUCAGGUGCACUAUGUGCGGGCCUACGACCAUGAUGUGUGGACAGGCACUCAUGCCUGCCGCAUGGCCUCCAGCCCACCAUGGACCCUCCAGUCCUGCUGUGGACACCACCAUCCAGUCAUGGACUCCCGCUCCUGCUGUGGACACCCCCAUCCCAUUAACCCCCAAGAGACCUGCUGAAUAGGGGUGAGAACUCCACUGAGAAGAAGAGACCAGGGAUGUGCAUGUGCCUUUGAGGAAAUCAUUGCUCAGAAGACCCCAGCAUCUAUCAGCAGUCUUCUCUUGACCUUUGCUCUUCCUCUUUUCAUCUGAUAUCUUGCCAGAUCGUUCAUGGAGAAAUUAGGUCCUAUCUGGCAACAGCAGAAUCGUCUUCCCAACACAUGAGAAAAGAACAGGCAUGGGCCCGCACCCAUCUUAUCCUUCCCUGCCUGCCCGGCCCCAUCAGGUCAGGAAGAUGUGUCCCUCCUCCUGUCAGAAGCCAAAUCCCAGAUAAAGGACUUAGAUGUAAAGGAAACCAGAAUAUUGUUUUGAGCUAUGGACGCUUAAAAAAAAAACCAACAACAGCAAAAACAAAUGAUCAAAUUUCCCAAAAUAUGGAUGUUACAGAAAAACCCGAACGAACUUUUGGGCCAACCCAAUAGGUGCAAAGAAGGGCGCGAGGACCUUUCUGCUCUUUCUUCCCCGAAGCAGGAGAGAACAUAUCCUCCCCCACAACCCCCACUCCUGCCGCCAUGGAAGACGUCCUCCCUCUGCUGGAAGGAGAGUGACAUUGUUACCGUCAAGGGAAGAAAGUGGAGAAUGAGAGAAUUCUGUACAAAUGGAGUUUGUUAAACAUAAUUCUCAUACUCCUUCACUUCCCCACACAGUGUACUUCCUUUUCCACAAUCGCCUCUCUUUGUUCAACGCAAUAGAAAAGCAUUUAGGUUUUGCCACUUCUCUGGGUCUUUCUUCAUUUCUGUAGUGGAGCACCCUGUGUCUUGUAAAUCUUAUGGGAAAUAAAUGUGUAUGCUUCUCUCCUGUGAAUCUGUCUCCAUUUAAUUCUCAGGACCAGCUGUCAGCUCUAAGAGGGUGGAGGUAUUGUUUUGUCUCGGUGACAUUUUUCUUGUCAGCAUCUUUGAAUUCUACCUCCUUCCUUGGCUUGAUUCUUCAGUGUGCUGACAUGCUCUCAGCUACCAUCUUCAGAAACUGUGAGAAUGAAACACAUUCUUUUUUUUUAUUUUAUUUUUUAAAUGUAUUAUUUAUUUUUGGCUGUGUUGAGUCUUCGCUGCUGCGCGCGGGCU